rnacentral:pre_miRNA from 1 species
UCUCCCAACCCUUGUACCAGAGCAUAAACUGAACCCCUGGUACGGGGCCGUGGGAGAGG